AUGAGGUGUGGGUAGGGGAGAAAUUCCAAUCGAACCCGGAGAUAGCUGGUUCUCCCCGAAAUAGCUUUAGGGCUAGCGUCGCAGCGAGAGAGCCGUGAAGGUAGAGCACUGAAUAUGCGAUGGCCGCAUCCCGCGGUACUGAGCAUAAUCAAACUCCGAAUGUCACGGUGUCAUCUGCGGCAGUCAGACGGCGAGUGAUAAGGUCCGUCGUCAAGAGGGAAACAGCCCAGACCAUCAGCUAAGGUCCCAAAGUGCAUGCUAAGUGGAAAAGGAAGUGGAGACGUGCAGACAACUAGGAGGUUGGCUCAGAAGCAGCCAUCCUUCAAAGAGUGCGUAACAGCUCACUAGUCGAAUGACUCUGCGCCGAUAAUUUACCGGGGCUAAGCAUGACACCGAAGCUAUGGACAGGAAUGUGGUAGGGGAGCAUUGCAUGCAGCGGAGAAGCAUGACCGAAAGGGCAUGUGGAGCGCAUGGAAGAGAGAAUGCCGGCGUGAGUAGCGGCACGUGGGUGAGAAUCCCACGCACCGAUGGCCCAAGGUCUCCAGAGGAAGGCUCGUCCUCUCUGGGAUAGUCGGGACCUAAGGCGAGGCCGAAAGGCGUAGCCGAUGGACGACGGGUGGAUAUUCCCGUACCCGAUGUGUGGCGAUGGAGUGACGGAGAAGGCUCAGGCAACCAGCUGCUGGAAUAGCUGGGGCAAGCGAGAUACCUGCGCACCAGGGAAAUCCGGUGCGCAUAAGGGGAAGGCGCGAUGCAUACGGAAAGCUGCGGCAAGUACGGAAAAGCUGAGAGCAGGCUUCCAGGAAAAGCUUCUAGCACAACACACAUCGGCCCGUACCGAAAAUGGACACACAUGGGCAAGGAGAGAAUCCUGAGGUGAGCGAGAGAACUAUAGCUAAGGAACUCUGCAAAAUGACCCCGUAACCUAGGGAGAAGGGGUGCUCCAGAAAUGGAGCCGCAGUAAAACGGCCCAAGCGACUGUUUACCAAAAACACAGCUCUCUGCGAAGGCGCAAGCCGAAGUAUAGGGGGUGACGCCUGCCCGGUGCUGGAAGGUCAAGGGGAGAGGUUAGCGGUAACGCGAAGCUUUGAACUUAAGCCCCAGUAAACGGC
rnacentral:rRNA from 1 species